GACGAACGCUGGCGGCGUGCUUAACACAUGCAAGUCGAACGGUAAGGCCCCAGCUUGCUGGGGUACACGAGUGGCGAACGGGUGAGUAACACGUGGGUGACCCGCCCCGCACUUCGGGAUAAGCCUGGGAAACUGGGUCUAAUACCGGAUAGGACCGCACCGUGAGGGUGUGGUGGAAAGUUUUUCGGUGUGGGAUGGGCCCGCGGCCUAUCAGCUUGUUGGUGGGGUAAUGGCCUACCAAGGCGGCGACGGGUAGCCGGCCUGAGAGGGUGGACGGCCACAUUGGGACUGAGACACGGCCCAGACUCCUACGGGAGGCAGCAGUGGGGAAUAUUGCACAAUGGGCGGAAGCCUGAUGCAGCGACGCCGCGUGGGGGAUGACGGCCUUCGGGUUGUAAACUCCUUUCACCAUCGACGAAGGUUUUCUGACGGUAGAUGGAGAAGAAGCACCGGCUAACUACGUG
rnacentral:rRNA from 1 species